UUCCAGCCCAAACCAUCCGGUGAUUCUAUGAUUCUGUUAUUCCUGGUGUCCUGCAUGAUGCCCUGUCACAGAUAACACACUUGUCUCCUCUGGUUCAGGUUGGAUAUUUGGAAGAUAACAUGUGGGAUCUGAGCAUCUUUCCUGAAGGAACAUUGUUUUGGGAGCUUCUAUGUGCCCCACACUUGCUUAUGCAGUAUGGGAAACUCCAAUCUCCCCCUUUGCAUGCAUUUGAAAAUAGUCUCUGAAGUGUACUUAAGUACGAAUGUGUAUUUAAAUACACUGCUGUGUAUUUAAGAAGCCUGACUCAAAAGCUUCGGGAAUGUAUUGGAAGAAACCAAUGACAUCACUUAACAAGGAUAUUUCCGACAUUAUAUUCCCUGAUUUUCCAAUCUGAUGUGUAAUAAAGUAAAAAUGUCAGCAUAGUCUACCUCCACUGUCUCAUUCUUAAGACUUCUGAGAGUAAGAUAAUGGAGCAUUCCCAGAGAUUCCUGCCACAUCCACCAGCUAAUCUUUGGCCUUGAGUGUGCUGUGAAACACAUUACAGUGUGUCCAAGUAAUGAGAAUUACUGCCAGCAAUGCAGGAAGAACUCAGCGUCAAGGACAACACUGAGCUUUAUCAUGCUCACGUGUGGCCUGCUGAAGAUAAGAAAAAGAGAUGUUCCAAUCAAAAAUUUUUGUGUAUCUUUACUGUUAAAAUAAUAGCCUCAAAAAUGAUCCUGAAGGCUCUUGGAUGGCAAAAACCUUUGCAUACAGUAAAUAUUUUUAUAACUUCAAAUUUGUUCCUGGCAGACAAUGCUUACAUUUUUUUCCAAAGUUUGUUCUGAACCCCAUCGGUAUUUAUUUUGGGAUGUGGAGAACUGCUUGAUGCUUUUUCUCCGUUCCUGAGCCGGUCUCUGGUGAAGCUGAUGAAACAUGUCAACCGUGGUAGUGCUCUUUGCUCGUCUUUUGGUUUGUCUCCUGCAUUAGGCUGAGCAGAAAGUCAAAAGUAGACUUAAUCUGAAGCCUUCCUGGUGACAACCAGAGAAGUCCCCGAUUUCUCAAGCUGAGCCUUUCCCAGGGACGUGGUGGCAUCUCCAGCAACAAACAACACAGUGCACAAUGAAGGGCAGCCAAAGAAAAAGCAAGAUUUCUGCAGUGCUGCAGCAUAAAGCAUUUCUUCCAUGAGGCACAUGUGGUUUUGUGGUUCAGAAAAAUUUUCAGGACCUGGCUUUCUAUUCCCUGGAGUUUUAAGUCGUAAAGAUGAAAGUCAAACACAGAGCUGCUUGGAGAAAAGAAGCUGAAGCCCUAAUUUUUGAGUGAAAAAUGUAUUUUCAGUUAAAGUUUGUAGAUGUGUGUCUAAUGCUAUGGUGUGAUCAGUACAUCCAAACUGAUGGCACAGCUUGCUUUGCAGGGGCAACACAGCAAGGCAGAAGUGAGCUGAAGCCAACGCACUGCUCUUGUUAGCCUUAAGGGAACUGGGAUUUUCGUUAGGAGGGAAUCAGGAUUUUCUUUGGAAGGGAAUUGGGAUUUUCUUUAGGAGUGGAAGGAGAUGAAGUCUUUUGUUGCGUUGCUAGCACAGCUCUCAUUCCCAUGUUGAUUUUCUUGAGGCUGCCUCUCCUAAGGGAAAGCUACCCCUGAGUGACUCCUCUUUCAAAAAAUGAGAGGGCAUUUUUGAGCCAGAUCAAUGCUCCGAGCAGGUGUGCUGUCAGGCUGUGCUAGCAAAGCAGCAGCGAUAGCUGGGGGGCAGAUAGAGCAGGGGGAAGGGUAGGAGCCUGGCAAUGCUUGUGCAGACAGAGCAAAGCCUGGUUGCCACAGCUGCAGAGCAAAAGCUGUUGGUUGUUCUUUUUUUUUUUGUUUUUUUUUUUUCUUUUUUUUUUUUUCAGGAAAUUAAUGCUUCUCUCAUGCAUCUGUGAAAGAAGUUUUGCAGAAGUUCAGCAGAAGACAGCAGAAGAUCAAGUCUGACCGUCAGAGAAAAUCUUAAUUUUCUCAAUUUUGUGAACGGUGAUUCAUAAACUCUUGUGAUUGGUGGCGCUGCUUUUUGUACGCCUUUCACACAUAACUUUCCAUAGGUUUUGCAUCCUUUAAUCAAAUGACAGUCCUUUCAAAGGGACAGCAUUUGCAAAGCUGAAUAAGAGACAGGGAAAUUCACAGCAAAGCAACCAUAAGUAAAUGAAAGGCGGUGAAUUCACCGUAAGCAAAUAGAAUCAGGGCAACCCACUGCAGGGCAGUAGGAGUUAUGGGGUCCAUUCCCUCCCACCUCCACUGCAGUUUCCCCUCUCAGUGCUGCCCAAGCCUGGCGCAGCAGGAAGCGCUCACUGCACACCAGCCUGUGGGGAUUUCCGUGGCUCACAGGUGUUAUGUGAAAGUUCAGGACUCAGGGUGAAGCUCUGUCUCCUUGUUCGCUUCUCUUUGCUUGUGUGUCUUCCGCUGUUUUGUAUCUCAGCCCAUGCUCCAGAUCCUGCAUCUGCAACUCAGCAAUUCCAGGCAAGUUUCCCUGAUCAGGAUGCAGUGUUGGCUGACCAUAUGUUUUGAAACCCGAGGUAAGAUCUUCCAUUGUCAACUGAUUUCCAUGUCUGUAGGAUUCUAAAUGCUCCGCCUGUGUCUGCUGGUCCAUUGCUUUAAAUGGGAUCUGUGACCGCAUCCUGCGCCUAGUGGUGGCACACAGCCACUGGACGAUUUUGGAACGGUCUUUACCUUAAGGGAUGGGGCUAAGCGUCAAAGCAGACUGCAGAGCCCACAUUCAGCUAGACUGCAAAACCCAUCCUCUGUCUAAGGCGUCAGUGGUCAGCAAACACGGCCCAGAGUUUUGUGUGUUGUGCAGGAAUUGGCAGGCUUGGGAACUGCAGCUUCCCACUCAGGUGGGCGAUGAGAUAAGGAUGACAACUGCACCAGAGGGACGGAUUUAGGGCACCUUCCCAAUGCCUCCCAGUGCUGCAUUAGUCACAAAGGUCACAGCUAUUAAUGGACAGUGCCAAGCUGGUCACGUGUCACCAGCUUCUUGUUUCCACCCACUAAUUUUUGCUAGAAGGGAAGUAAUUUAGUGUCGGACAUUUUCUCUGGAAUCUGAAGGUCUCAAGGCUGAGCAGAAUGCUGCUUCCACACUCUGAUUAAUGGGAGUGAGAAGCAGGGGGGGUGAAAACUACAUUAAGAAUUUACCUAUAUAAACUGCCUACCUAAAUCCCCCCAAAAGGGUCUCAAGAGCAAGAAAUGAAGCAAGAAGAACCAAGAGAAAUGCAGAAAUGCUUCUCCUCCUGUCCUUGCAACUAGAAGAUAGAGUGCUGGCACAUCCCAUGCAAGGAUUCUGAUGAGACCUCUUCAUAUGACACUUUGGCAUCUACACACAAGCCAGAAUGACCUGAGGUGUGGAAAUCAUAGAAUCACAGAAUCAUUAGGGAUGGAAAGACUACUAAGAUCAUCUAGUCCAGCCAUUAACUCAUGCCUGUGAUCACUCUGGACCAUGUUCUUCAGUGUUCCACAUCAAGUUCCUCAGUUCCUCAUCAACCCUUUUCUUGAACACCUCCAGCGAUGAUGAAUCCACCACCUCCCUGGGCAGCCUAUGCCAGUGCCUCACCACUCUUCCAGAGAAUAAUUUUUUCCUAAUUUCCAACCUAAAUCUUCCUUAGUACAACUUGAGACCGUUACCUCUCCUCCUAUCACUGUUACCUGGGAGAAGAGGCCGACCACCAUCUCAACACAAUCUUCUUUCAGACAGUUAUAGAGAGAUAUAAGGUCUCCCCUGAGCCUCCUCUUCUCUAAACUGAGCAAUCCCAGUUCCCUCAGCCUGCUACGGUGCACACCCAUGAAGUGAAACUUGGGCUUCUGCUUGAGGAGUGCCUGGCAGAACUGGGACAGUUGUGGGAAGCGGUUACCUUCCUGUGCAGUGACAGCUCUCAGUGCUGCCCUGUGUUAAAUGACAUCAGAGCUAAGCUGGAUGGAAAAUAUAUGUAUUUUUUUCACUCAGCUGUGUGAGGUUUUAGCCAGAUAGUUCUUCAGAACAGCUCAUGGUGCAGAUGCACGUUCUUGUGAUGACAUGGCAUGACUAGAGCACAAAAACAAACUGAAGGUACAGGGCAGACACUUUUCAAAUGAAAAUGCUCAAAUUACUACAGCCUGAAUGUACUCUAAAGAUCCUCCUUCUGAACAGUUAACAAAAACCGUAUUAGACAAUGUACACAGAGAUCGUGAGGCUUUGUGCUAAGGCAGGUCUGCUCUUCUUCCAAACAUCUGUCCUUGCAUGCAAGCUUCCCACUCCCCACCAAAUGUGCAGGACGAGCAGAUAUGAUAAGGAGGACAAGUAGAAUAGAUACUGAAGAUCUGGGUGAAACCCACUCCUGUAGCUUCCUGCUGUCAAAACAUGUCUGUAAGUAGUGAGGAUGAAGGCCUGGCACAUGUGGAGAAGCUCAGCUUUGCAAUGCACCCAUUGCAUCUGAGCAGGAUGCAGAGGAGCAGACGUGAAAUGAAUGUACACACAGAGAAGUCGAUUUGCAAUUUAGUUUUGUUUUUUUUCUUAAUGAUGAAAAAACCAAGCACUGAAUUGUUAAGGACUGGUGGCAUUUGGCUGAAUGACAGCCAGGCAGGCUGAAUGGGGCAGAUGUCUGUAAACAUCACCAGAAAGAUGCAACGUGCUCAUCUCUGCGUAUUGUCCUAAGCACACUGGAAGAAAACUGAGAAAUCUUAAUAAAUUCUGUGAGAAAUGACAUCACUCUUCCCCGUGUCUGAGAAGCUGAUUUCAUUCCAAAUAAUAUGUUUUACAGGAAUCUCUUCCAUUCCUAAGCUGAAGGAGAUUUUUCAGCAAGCCAUUUCCUUUUGCAUUUCCCAGUGCACAGCUGACGUGAACAGACACGGCACAUCACAGCCUGGAACAAUUUCCAGCCUUGGUGUAGGUCAGAGACUGCGCCAUGUCUGCAGAGCAAUCUGGCACAUUUUGAGUUUCACCAGUAAAUCAGAUCAGCUUCUUAAAAUGCUUUCGUUUUCUGCAGUCCAACAAAUUCUGUGUACUUCAGCUGAAAGAGAUUCUUCUCUGAAAAUACCGAUUCAUUUAUUGAGAAACUGCGUGUGUGAGUCAUAAAGCAAAGACCAGUCCUAAAGAAAAGCAGAAGCGCACAACAGGAAAGGCUAAUUUCAAGGUUAUUACCCAAAAUGAUUGUUGUCUGGAUGGAAUGAAUUGUGAUAUUUAGGAAUGUCCACUGGAAUGUGGAACAUUUUUCCGUUCUGGAAAGAAAAAUAUUUAUUUUGUUCAUUAAUGCAGUAGUCAGUGUUUUUGGGUAACUAAUAACUAGCGGCUCCUCCCAUGCAGAAGGAACAUUCUGUGGCCAUAUUUCUUAAACCUGCAUACCCAUAAGGCCUUCUGGGGGUUUUGCACCUCGCCUUGAGGCCAAAACUGUAACUUCUUGCUACUGGAUUAUAUCACAUUCGGAGUGAAGCAGAGGCAGCACUGCUUAUUUCUAAGCACCCACUAAAAAGAUUUUAAAAAUUACUGUGCUGUGGGCAAUGCCUACAGAGUAGUUCUUAUUUAGGAUCUUGCAGACUCUGCAAAAGAGUAUCUGUAAAUCCCAGUUUUACUUGGAUCUUACCAGGAAUGAAACCAUUUGGAUCUGGCAGAUAAAAAACACAGAUAAAUUGCAAAUUCUGCCUGUAUGGACUCAACUGUGCUGCGUCUCCUGAUAUUCUGGAAAUAUUCUUCGACCCUGAAACUCCUCAUUUGUCUGCUUGCCUUUAUGUCUUUAGGGCUUGAUCUGCUGGAAUCAGUGGAAAGCUUUGCUCCUGAUGAUAGUGGGGCAUGUCUGGGCUCAGCCUGAGCAUGGAUGGAGCUGAAACUGCAACUUUUCUUCUGCCUCCUUAUCUACACCUUUGGACUGCAGUCUAGCUAUACCAGUUUCACUCAACCUCACCUCCUGCUUUGCUUCAUCCUGCACCCUUGCUCUCUUUGGGAUCUCUUUCUUUACUUGACUCCUACCUUCCCUGUUCUUGCUCCAGGCAAGAACACUGUGCUGGAUUAGACCAUCUGUUCUGCUUCCAAUACUGGCCAUAAACAGACACCUAGGAAAAAUUCAGAACAAAUCCAUCAUUUUUCCUGUGACACUACAGCAGCUUCUAGCUAUUUCCAGCUCAGAGGCUUUCCAGAGCCUGCUGUGGUCUCUUUGUGUCAUAGAUCCCUCCAAACAUCUGAGGGAUUGCGCUCCUUGUGAUCAGUCUCAGAUUGAGGAGAUUCCUUGGCUGGACUGCUGCCUGCUGCAUGACCAGGUUGCUUUUGUCCUUUUGGUUGCUUUGGAUUUGGCUCCUACCUGCACUAGCAGGUCCCUCAUUCUUGUCCUGGAGAUACAAUGAACACUCAAUCCCUAUCCACUCUGUGUAUUAAUGAUUUUAUAAUUUCUUUUUGCAGUAUCCUCAUCUCAUCUCUUUUUCAGCUUGAGAAGCCCCACUCUCCUGCACUACUCCUUGCACAGCAAUUGGGCUACGCCUAUUAGUCUUCUCUGAACAUUUUGCACUACUUUGUUAACCUUUCUGAGAGGCCAGAACCGCACUGUUCCCUUUUGCUUAAUGGGAAUUAAGAGAGCUAACACAGUCUGUAACAGAAGGAACUUCAGAAGGAACGAGUGGUCUUCUAGAUCUAAUCAUUUCUCAAGAAGGAGCAUAGUCAGAAAACUUUUCUUAACUAUUUUCUUUCACCUAUAAAGCACAGUUCUGUCAUGUAGUGUCCUCAUCUCAUGAACACAUCAAUUCUGUAUGGUUUUCUGGCAAGGUCAAGCAUUUCAGUAGCAACAACAGAACUCGGGCUACCAGUGGAAGCAAUUUCUACUGGGCUCAAGACUGUGAGAGAGUCACCUGCUGCUUAGUUUUCCAUGUUGAAGAUAGAAAGCAGUACACUGCGUCUUGUCUUUAGGGAUCUGCAGGUGGGCUGUCACUAAUGAGAAGGGUAGGGAGGAAAAGAGUUAAUUUAGAAACUAGAGUUGCAUCAGUGACAUGCAGAAAUUGACACAUCCUUUCUGCAUGACAUAGACAAUGGUCAGUACAUCUGUGCAAUUCCAAAAAUGUAUGUGGCAACCACUGAACUGCAGCUUCUGUCUCCAGAGCUUUGCUUCUCCUCCUUACGGGAACAUCUCAAGGUCUUCUCUAGUGAUCUUUCUCAUGAGGAUGAUGUAGUUUUUCCUCCCUCCCUUCAGACUACAUACUUGAAUGUGUCUCUGAAAUCUCAGGUGACACAGUAGCUGACACAGCUUUGUGUACUCCUGUAGCCUGGCCCAAAUCCAAUUCUUUAUUGUAUUGCCUAACUCUAUUGUUCACAACCAUGUCAAAUGCAGCUAGGCCUUACCAGCUAUCCAGGCACUAUCACUGCUAUCAUCUGCUUGUAAUUCCCUUAGCUAUCUGUGGUGUAACAGUUCAUUGCACCGAUGCUACUCCACGCAACAAAAGAUCCAAAGUGAAGACAGCAUUGCUCAGAGGCUUUGCUAACUGCCACCUUCCACUGCCCAUUCUCCAUUGCAGAGGACUUAAGCUUCUUGUCAAGGGACAACACUGUUUUUUUCAUCAUGACUGUUUCUCGUCAUGCUCUACUUGAUGAGAGAUUUCCAGUUGAAUGUAUAUGUAAAGAGUAAAACCAAAGAAGCUUUCCAGCUACGUGAGUAAUGUUACAGCAUGUCACCCCCAUGGGCUAGCUCCCUCUGAUGCAUGUCAGCACAAGUGUGAAACGCUCAUGGGCAGCAUGAUGGGCUGAUACAGGCAACCAAGUGCCUUCCGUGGCUGUAACUUUGUUUAAUGUUCCUUCCCAGGUUUCUUUGUGCUUACAGCAGCUCAGAAAUCUGAGUGUCCAGGGAGAACCCAGCCAAGCCUACCUAAUGCAGAGCUGAUCUGAAAACAUGAGGCAUUAAGACCCUUUUCCACCCUUCCCUCCAGCAGCGAGAUCUGGGCAAUUUUCUACAUGCAUCUUGCACAUACAUUCAUGGUUAACACUCUGAGACAGGAUCCGAUGUCAGAGCAGGUCUCCAGGUAGCGGGAGGUGAGCACACACAACCUUGCUGAAUUCCCAGAAGCUUCUGAAUUUGUCUCAGUGACCCUGUCACUGUGCCCAGGGAAAUGGAAAUAGAAUGCUGCCUAUAGAAAAUGCCCUCGUUUUGCAGAAGAGUGUCAGUGCCAAUGAGACACCCUGAUCCAGGAACAAAUGACUCUUUAUCCAGGCACAUGUGAGAUGGCUGUGCAACAGAAAAAAGGACAAGGGCUGCUGUUGCAAUGAUUUCUACUGGUAUCCAUCAGCAGUUAAUGCAGACUCACAGUUUCUGUAAUAAUCUGAGGCUUUCAAGAAUUUCCUUAUUAGGCAAAAAUCCCUUCUUUGGCUUAAAUUUGGCAGUUAAAAUAGGAAUUCAUGAGAAAUACCACUGUACUUCACUUUUCUCACCCAGAGAAAUAUAGUGAUUUUCUAUUUUUGUUUUGGGGAUUCUUUCUGGCUACUGUAAACAUAACAGCAAUUCAAAUCAUACUGGCAUUUUCUUAUGUUUUGCCAUCUCUGAGAGCAUUUUUAUGGAGUUAGAGAGCUUGUUAAUCUAUGUGUCAUACGAAAAAAGAGAUCAAUCAUUAUAUGUAGUCUAGUUUCUGUUUGCAUUUCCUGCUGACUUAUCUCCUCUUGAGCCUGAGCUUGCAACAGCUGCUGUAAUAGGCUUGUUACCCAUAACCUACAUCUACACUUGCCUGACAAACCGGAAUGAAAGCAGUGGGUUGUAUAUAUCUUCCUGGAUAACAGUGGACUUCAUUCUUUGUUGCCUCCUUAGUUGCAUGGAACAAGUAGAAUGACAUCAUGUGACAAGCAGGCCCCAGUCCUUUGGCUAUUUGUGAUCUAAGAUUCAUUCAGAUCUCAGAGCUCAGUGGUAUGAUCUUUUCUUAAAAGCUUCAUAAUAAUGACCAGAAGCUACACUAAAGACGUUGAAAAGCAUUUUGAAGCUGACUUGAAUUGAUGAAGGCCAAUGAGUUAUGAAGAAACCAUUCUUCUAUUGGAGAAUACUCACAAUGCUUGCUGAAAAUACGAUAAUUUUUAGCAGCACUGUUUGCUAUAUGUUUAGUUUAUGCACUAUUUUGUUAGAAACUAGUGACCUCACCUCUCAGAUGCAGUUAGUAGAAACUUCCUAUAGCAUGUUAUUUAAACAAUAAAUCAGUAGUGCUCUAUAUAUGUAUUAUUCAUUCUGCUCCUAGGUAGUCUUAUUUCCCUUGAUGCAAUAAUAGACCGUAAGUUGUACAACUCUGAGAAAUUCUUUUUGAUGGAAAAAAAAAUUCAUAGCAUUUGUGAAUGGGGCAGUAGCUUUGGAUUGGUGGAUUCAGACUCCAUUAAUGAUAAUUUCUUGGGGCACAGUUACCUUCAGUUGUCCAUACAGCAGUUUCGGCAGAGGAAUGUGCUUUUGUGUUUGCAAUGCUGUAAGCCAUUUACACCGUCUAUAGUCCAUCUAAUAUAUGUAUACAUGUCUCUGUUUUCCAGACCUCCGAAGUAGCUGAGCAGCUGCUCGACCUGGAGGACAGCAGCUGGCAGUGAGAGGCGGGCAGAGAGGUGACCUAGAAGAGUAUUUGGUGAGAAGAGGAGAAGCACAACCCAUGGCACAGCCCAGCAGCAGUUUGAAUGCACCAGCACUGAGUGAGCAGAAAUGACGCUGCAUCUGUCUGCAGGGUUUGCUCACCUCGAGCUAGGAUGACUUAGCAGAACAGCCCUGCAUCCCUGCAGCACCUCAGCUCCAGCCACCAACAUCCUUGCUGACUGCCUGAAAGAGCCUUGAUUUGUCCCAUGGUCAAACCCCAAGCCUGUGGCGAGCUGUUACAGAAAUGGGCAUCACUUGGGGCUCAGUCCUGAUCCCUCUGCAAUCUAAGCAUUCACACUCCUUGGGAACAGCAGGAGCAAGAUCCUUCCCUGACAAAUUUCCCAGAUCUCACUGAGAAAGUGGGCAAAGGAAAAAAUAACACAUUUUUUAAAGACUUGUAGUGCACCAAAUGUGAUAUUUUUUUGACAGAAAGCUGUCUGUUCAGUACUGCUUGCCCUCCAUACCACUCUUCCAGAGAGCAGCAAUUAAUUAUUCAUUCUUUUCUCCCUUUAAAGAAACAGUAGGCAAGAUGCUGAGCUUAUCAAAGUCAGCGGCAGCUCAGGGUUCUCAUGGGAGAAGCAGUGCUUGCUGUGGAUCACGCCUAACAGAGCACGCCUGAGCGUGUUAGCACAGCACCAGCUCAGGGCUGAAGUUCAUGCGAGGAGACUGGUUGAGGUCAUCAGCUGAGGAGCCACGAGUGUAACGGCGGGGCUGGAGCACAUGGCUAAGCAGCAGGGCUGGCUGCUGGCUUUUACAAAUGCACUGAUUUUUCUCAUUUUGCUUCCAGAGUUUUCCUGCAAAGCUAGCACGAACACUACAGAAACUAGGCAGUCACUAAAUAUGUCCGAUCUUCCAUGUUGCCAACACAGCAACAACGGAAACUGGGGGGAAUCAGUGUUUUUAGGAGGCUCCUGGCUUUUCCUUUUCUUCCUAAGUGUGUAGAAAGAAAACAAAGGUAGGCAUAGCCUCCACCUUUCCAGAAUGAGCAUGGAGACCAUUAGCAAGGCUCUCAAGCCUGACAGCUGGCACUUGGUCACAGACAUAAGUGUGGUGGCAUGGUUGAACUUCACAAAUUUUGGUAAUGCAAUGGUGCUGUGGAUAUUGUGAACCACGUGUUUUUACCAGGACGCACAAUUGUACAUCUAACUCCCUUUGAAAAUCAUCCUUUCAAACAUACAAUAGAAAAGCAAUCUGUUUUGUUUGAGGUCUCUUAUUCCUCCACCCAUGCAAAGCUCAAUCUCGCCCUAUGGACACUGCAGUCACUGUUAUUAUGGCAGUGCAGAGGCUCUGGAUAGAAUCAGUCCUUGGCACCUUGGGGGAUAAACAAACACAGAACUGAAGUGGUCUCAGCUCCAGAGGACUCACUUUCUAUUGUUUUACUCCAGAGCAAUGAGAAGUGAUUAAAUUACAAACUUCAUUCUAGAAAAAUGGCAGUAAAAUCUUCACGCUAUGCCAUAACAUCAAAAAUUCUCAGCCAAACACUGCUGGAGAAACUAUUUAGAAGUACUUCUGAAUCCUGGAAUAUAUUUACUGGAAAUAGUUCACUCUUCUUCCUGUAAAAGCCAGAUGCAUUAAUUAACAUGAACUCUAUUUGCCCAAGCUGAGCCUCAGGGCACAGUAAUGAAGCAGAGAAAAUUUGGUUUGAGAGGCAAAGAAAACACUCUCUACUUACUCAAUUUAAAAGAAAAGGAAAUCCAGCUGCUCAGAUGUCUGUGGACCUUGAUGUGUGGGCACUGGUUAUCCAGUUUAAUGUUCACAUCACUACUCACUGCAUGCCACAGUCCACAGCCACCCCUUAAUUGGCCGUAGAGGGUUAUUUCGGCUGCACAUUGUGCCAUGGACUCAGCCUGUAUGUGCCAUGGACUCAGCUCAGAGGUUACUCACACAAAGUUUAUUGGCUCAGGUGCUGCACAAACAAAGUUAAGCAGUGCCAGAUCAGAUCUAGAAGCAGUUUAUCCAUUUUUAUGUUAUCUGGAACAUAAUAAUAUAAAAUAAACUCUACUGACCCAAGCUAGUGUUGUUCACUGCAUAUCUGGACCCCGGGAAGAUUCAGAAGUAUGGCACAGGCACCUUUACUCAUGGAGCCCCGUUAAACCCAGCAAGCUUUCGCUCAGGAAGGCCUGUCCUAAUCCAAGCUGGUUCUAGGGAGUUGCACUCAAAUAUCCAUGCACAAUACUUAAUUCAUGAAAAAUAUUGAGCAAUGGUGAAACAAAGCAAAGAAACCUGAGUGACUCUUGAUGGAGAGCGCCUCAGAACUCAGCCAAAGCAGAGGAACUGUCAUGGAUCCACAGCAACUAUGCAGAAGCAGUCAAGUAUCUCAAUGCUUCAGAAGCUUCAAAGGAUCCUGUGGCAUUUGUCCACCUGUGCAACAGCAUCUUCAAGUUAACUCAGCUUCAUGUUAUUCUGAACAGGGAAGUGAAUGAUUGAACUUCUUUUACUCUUUGAAGAGCAAGCAAAAGCCUCAGCACUGCUUAUCAUUUUUUAUUUCUUGACAUAUACUGUAUGAGCUAAAUAAAGCCAUAAUCAUAA